CAUACACACGUCAUGGCCACGCCUCAGCACGUAGAGCAGGGCCCCCGAGGGAUGGGCAGGAGUACACAGUGGUGAGUGUGGAGCACAGGCUGACACCUGAAUCACAGACACCGGUACUGACAAUGAGAUGGACACAUAUCCAAAAGUCCUGGCACUAUGGCUCAGCCCUGGGGAACCCGCAGAAAUAAAGAAAUCUCCCUGUGAAAGGAAAGGACACAUUAUUGAGAUUUUUUUUCCCCCCACCAGACACAUCACCAGGCAAGCCUUAAAAUGCCGAGAGGCCCUUUUAAGGAUCAAGCUAUCAGUACCAAUUAGUCCCUGGGCCUCGGUGCUAAUUUCCUCAGAGAAUUCCUCCCAGGCUUCCUACCCACCUUGCCAAGAAUACCCUCAGGCAUUCACAAGCUGGCAUCCCAGUGUGUGGUCCAGCUGUCUCCCCUACCUAACCAGGUCCACUCCCUGGAUUCAGAAACCACAGGCGAAGAAUCACCCAUUUGUCUGAGCUACUGAAUGUUCUGCUCCCUCAGACAUACAGGUCCUUCUCCACCCACACCAUCCCCCCAGGAUAGCUCAGGGGUACACAGGAGCAGUCGGGGAGGGGUUGGGAGAGAAAAAUACAGAUGGAUUAUAAUCAAAGUAACAUUGAUCUUGGUACAGGCUGUCUACCUGGACUUUUGCAAAUCUUGGGUUUUGUCUUUUCCUCUCCAGGCAAUAAACACUUGAGCUAUAAUUCUAAACUCGGGUGGGAAUUUGAUGGCUGCUGAGCUAAGAAGAACGAGCCUGCUCCUCCUGGAACUGCCCAUCAUCGGCUGGGUCCAUACAUGCCAGCUGGAAUAUUUCCUGGGGGGAGAGCGGACUCAUCGAAGGGUACCCACUCCGGCCACUCCUGAAAGGCAACGCCACGUUCAGAGGUAAUGAGUGCGCCAGCGAGAAACAGACACGCCAUCGCCGCCACUGCCCAGUCCCAGCCAGGGCAACACCCUUUAGUCUUUGUGGGCUUUUAGCUUACAGGUAACUGGCCCUAGAAUAGAAACUCUUUAAAAAAAAAAAACCACAACAAACCAAACACACACACACACACUGAGAAAGCACUGUCUCCAACCUGCCUUUGGAACCCUUCCUCCCUCGGCUGGUGACUCAUAUCUGUGAUGAAUGACAUCAUUUGUCACACUCAGCCAUAUGGAAGACCAAGGCUGGAUUGUAAACCGGUUUCUCCAUUAGGCGGAAAAUGCCAUACUUUACACAGCGAACAGUCUGUUUAAAUAUUAAGCAGUCGUGGUCUUUUAAAAAAUCUCCUCCACGCUAAGAAGAUGGCAUUAUUGUGCCAACAUCCCUGGCCAAACCAAACAGUGCAGUGCCAGACACUGUGUCUGUUGUCAGGAGCUCGGUGGAAGGGUUCCAGAGGGCGGUGCGGAGGUGACCUCCCUUGGGUUGGUGGCUCUGGAGAAGAAUGCUCAAAUGGUGAUGUAAGAGAACACGACAAAGGCAGCCAAGUGCUUAGAGACACUGAACAAAAGGUAUGGGAAGCUGCCUGUUACUAAACCACCAGUUGGUCCGUGUAGACACUCUUAGCCAAUGCGAUCCACGGGGCUGAUUAGAGAGUAAGCCAAUUUUCUAAAAAUGUGGUUGCUGCUGCCAAGUCACUGGUAACUAGAUACCCUUUGACCUGUGUGAGAGUGAACUUCCUGAUCCUGGGAGGAGGGACAAUGGUGACUGGCAGAUAGGAGAGAGAUGAAGACCAUCAUCUCACCAUUGUGUCUACUGCUAAUGGCUCUAAGUCCUGAGCAAGGGCUGCCAGUUGCUUCAAAAUAUUCCACAGGUGCGACUUAACAGAGCGUCUGCUAUUCAAUGACUUAAUCCAUGUCUUCUCCUGAAAACAAGGUGAGCACUGCUUUUUAAGAAAUAGGUCCCCCUUUGCCCUACAGAAAGUGAUUAAUUACCCACAGAGAGAAUCCCCAACAGGAAGAGAGGACCCUUAGAAUCACUGAACAACCUCAGAGUUAACCUUUUUGACCUUCUACUUCAAAAGCAUCGUCUGCUUCUCGUUGUUAGGAUUGAGUCCAGAAUCCUGAACAUGGCCUCUCCCAUGAUCUGGUCCUUAAAGUCUUCGCUUACACACUUCAGCCCUUGCUCCCUGAAUUCCAGACACACGGGACUCUUAGUUCACUGACUGUGGCAGGCUUCUUUCUGCUUCAAGGCCUGAAUAUAGGCUACCCACUAAAAAACCUCUCCAUAGUAUUUUUAAUUCAUCCUUCAAAAUGCUUAUCAAAAGUCACCUUAAAGAAAUCUGUAACUGGUCAGAUCUCCCUCUCACAUGCACUCAGCUCAUACUGCUCUUCCUACCAUUUACCAUAACUGUGAUUAUUCACUGAAAAUAAGUUUCAUCCCAAUAAUUCUGUUUCCUGUCUGGUUUUCCACCAGAUGCAAGCUUAAUGAGGGAGGAGCCCUGUCUGUCAUAGUAGUCUCUACUUGCACAAGGCAAAGCUCUAGAAACACAGAUGGUCCUGAGGAAGCAGCCAGCUGCUCCCCCAACGUCUCCAUCUCAGGAAAUGUACCAACAUCCACCAGAACCCUGGGGCCAUCCUUGACUCCUCCCUCUUCUUUCUCCACAGACACAGCAAUCACCAAAUCCUCCAUUACCUCUCAGGUCUGAUCUUCUUUCCUCAUUUCUAUCUUGUUAGUCCAAGCCACAGUCAUUAAUAAUUUAUACCACUGCAGUCACUAAGUGGUGUCCUAUCUCUUGACUUGCUCUCCUCCAAUCCACUGAAUCCAUUUUGGCUCCUGUGUCCUGGCUGGUGUCGCUCUCCAAGCUCAAAACCUGUCACCUCCAUGAAGUGUGCUCCACCUAACAGGUUGGAUUCUUUAAAUUUUCCACACCUCACCUCUCCUCCCCUGAAGAGCUGGCCUUCUAGUCUCACUUAUCUCUUGCUUCACAGGGAAGCUUCCGGACUCUCAAAGAUCUGUUUCUACAGGUACUGUGAUAUUGACUGCCACAUCCCCACUGCUUAAGCCAGCUUUGGAGUCACAUAAAUUAUUGGUCAACCCAGAAAGGAAGAGAAGACAGAGUGAGCCUAUGAUGGGAGGUAAUUUGUACAGCAAAUUGGUGUGGAUCAGACUGAUCCAAUUGCGGCGGGAGGGAUCCCCUCCAUUUCUAAGCCAAGAACCCUUGGAAAACACUAACUCCUUCCAAUGAGGUGGUCUCACUCUGCAAUCUUACCUCCUUCCUGCACAGAUCAAAGAGCAAUAUCUACUUGUUUUCUGCAGACAGGAGAAUCUCCACCCUGCUACCUCAUCACAUCAAAUGUUGGCUAAAACAAUUCAUGGCCUUGGCCGUGCCUCUGGCCCUUUUCUUCCAAAUGAGUUGGGUUGUGACCUCUGAAAAUGAUGCUUUUCAAAACCAGGUCCCCAACACCACAGGCAGACAGAAAUUAACAGAGUGAGAGGUUCUAAAUGGCAUUCAGAC